rnacentral:rRNA from 1 species
GCUUAACACAUGCAAGUCGAACGAUGAAGCCUUUCGGGGUGGAUUAGUGGCGAACGGGUGAGUAACACGUGGGCAAUCUGCCCUUCACUCUGGGACAAGCCCUGGAAACGGGGUCUAAUACCGGAUAACACUCUGUCCCGCAUGGGACGGGGUUAAAAGCUCCGGCGGUGAAGGAUGAGCCCGCGGCCUAUCAGCUUGUUGGUGGGGUAAUGGCCUACCAAGGCGACGACGGGUAGCCGGCCUGAGAGGGCGACCGGCCACACUGGGACUGAGACACGGCCCAGACUCCUACGGGAGGCAGCAGUGGGGAAUAUUGCACAAUGGGCGAAAGCCUGAUGCAGCGACGCCGCGUGAGGGAUGACGGCCUUCGGGUUGUAAACCUCUUUCAGCAGGGAAGAAGCGAAAGUGACGGUACCUGCAGAAGAAGCGCCGGCUAACUACGUGCCAGCAGCCGCGGUAAUACGUAGGGCGCAAGCGUUGUCCGGAAUUAUUGGGCGUAAAGAGCUCGUAGGCGGCUUGUCACGUCGGAUGUGAAAGCCCGGGGCUUAACCCCGGGUCUGCAUUCGAUACGGGCUAGCUAGAGUGUGGUAGGGGAGAUCGGAAUUCCUGGUGUAGCGGUGAAAUGCGCAGAUAUCAGGAGGAACACCGGUGGCGAAGGCGGAUCUCUGGGCCAUUACUGACGCUGAGGAGCGAAAGCGUGGGGAGCGAACAGGAUUAGAUACCCUGGUAGUCCACGCCGUAAACGUUGGGAACUAGGUGUUGGCGACAUUCCACGUCGUCGGUGCCGCAGCUAACGCAUUAAGUUCCCCGCCUGGGGAGUACGGCCGCA